rnacentral:lncRNA from 1 species
AGACAAUCAGCUGGAGUUUGCUGAAGAAUUCAAGGAUUCAGCACCUCAGAGGAGGGGAGAUGACCUCCUCUGGCAUCAAGAGAGCACUUGUAGCACAAAUCCAGGGGAGGAGAGGUCUGGUCACGGUGCUGAAGCUGCAGUGAGAGCAGCAGUCCCUGCCCUCCGAUGUCACUGUCAUAUUCUCUGAAAAAUCCUUUCACCGGGAUUUCUUCUUCUGGGAAGCUGAGAAGCCUCAGGUAAAAAGGAAAACAAUAUUAUCUCAUUUGUU